UCAUCGUGGCCCAGCCUCCCACCCUUGUCUCUAUACACCUGUUGCUUUGGCGGGCCCACCGGGGCCACCUGGUCGCCGGGGGACGUUCGUCCCCGGGCCCGCGCCCGCCGAAGCGCUCUGUGAACCCUGAUGAAGAUGGGCUGUCUGAGUACUAUGAAAAUUGUCAAAACUUUCAACAAUGGAUCUCUUGGUUCCGGCAUCGAUGAAGAACGCAGCGAAAUGCGAUAAGUAAUGUGAAUUGCAAAAUUCCGUGAAUCAUCGAAUCUUUGAACGCACAUUGCGCCCCCUGGCAUUCCGGGGGGCAUGCCUGUCCGAGCGUCAUUUCUGCCCUCAAGCACGGCUUGUGUGUUGGGUGCGGUCCCCCCGGGGGCCUGCCCGAAAGGCAGCGGCGACGUCCGUCUGGUCCUCGAGCGUAUGGGGCUUUGUCACUCGCUCGGGAAGGACUGGCGGGGGUUGGUCACCACCACAAAAUUUUACCACGGUUGACCUCGGAUCAGGUAGGAGUUACCCGCUGAACUUAAGCAUAUCUA
rnacentral:rRNA from 1 species